rnacentral:rRNA from 1 species
AGAGUUUGAUCCUGGCUCAGGAUGAACGCUGGCGGCGUGUCUAAGGCAUGCAAGUCGUACGAGAACCGCGUAUCUCACUCGGGUAGAUUAGUUAGUCUUUGCUUCGGCUGAGGCUUCUAGUCUCCCGAAUGAGGUAUGUGGUGAAAGUGGCAAACGGGAGAGUAACACCUUAGUAACUUACCUUAAAGAUGGGGACAACUUGCCGAAAGGCGGGCUAAUACCCAAUGUGCUAUUGUUUUUCAAGAAAUAAUAGUAAAGCUUCGGCGCUUUAAGAGAGGCUUAGGUCCUAUCAGCUAGUUGGUGAGAUAAUAGCCCACCAAGGCUUCGACAGGUAGCGGGUGUGAGAGCAUGACCCGCCCCACUGGGACUGAGACACGGCCCAGACUCCUACGGGAGGCUGCAGUCAAGAAUCUUCCUCAAUGCGCGAAAGCGUGAAGGAGCGACGCCGCGUGAAAGAUGAAGCCCUUCGGGGUGUAAAUUUCUUUUUUCAGGGACGAACAAAUGACGGUACCUGAAGAAUAAGGGGCUGCUAACUUCGUGCCAGCAGCAGCGGUAAUACGAAGGCCCCAAGCGUUAUCCGGAAUUACUGGGCGUAAAGAGUCUGUAGGCGGUUAGGUAAGUUAACGGUUAAAGCCCGGAGCUCAACUCCGGAACAGCCGUUAAUACUAUCUGACUAGAGAAUGGGAGAGGACAACGGAAUUGCCGGUGUAGUAGUAAAAUGCAUUGAUAUCGGCAGGAACACCAAAAGCGAAGGCAGUUGUCUAGAACAUAUCUGACGCUGAGAGACGAAAGCGUGGGGAGCGAAAGGGAUUAGAUACCCCUGUAGUCCACGCCGUAAACGAUGAAUGCUAGGUGCUGGGAGUUUCGACCCUCUCAGUGCCGGGUAGCCAAGUUAACACCUUAAGCAUUCCGCCUGGGAAGUACGGCCGCAAGGCUAAAACUCAAAGGAAUUGACGGGGACCCGCACAAGCGGU